GGGGGGGGGGGGGGGGGGGGGGGGGGCGGGCGAGGCGGGCGGGGGGGCGGGGCGCUUGGUUCUCUGGUGUUGGCGGCGGACGGGGGCGGACCACGUGGGUAACCUCCCUAUACGACUGGGAUACCUGCUGGCACCCGGAGCUAAUACCGGAUAAUAUUUUUACCCGCAUGGUUCACAAUUGAAAGACGGUCUUUCUGUCACUGCUAUAUGUCUCCGCGCUGCAUUAGCUAGUUGGUAUGGUAAAGCCUUACCACGGCAACGAGGCAUAGCCGACCUGAGAGGGUGAUCGGACACACUGGAACUGAGACACGGUCCAGACUCCUACGGGAGGCAGCAGUAGGGAAUCUUCCGCAAUGGGCGAAAGACUGACGGAGCAACGCCGCGUGAGUGAUGAAGGUAUUCGGAUCGUAAAACUCUGUUAUUAGGGAAGAACAUAUGUGUAAGUAACUGUGCACAUCUUGACGGUACCUAAUCAGAAAGCCACGGCUAACUACGUG
rnacentral:rRNA from 1 species